AGUGAACGCUGGCGGUAGGCCUAACACAUGCCAGUCGAACGGCAGCACAGUAAGAGCUUGCUCUUACGGGUGGCGAGUGGCGGACGGGUGAGGAAUACAUCGGAAUCUACUUUUUCGUGGGGGAUAACGUAGGGAAACUUACGCUAAUACCGCAUACGACCUACGGGUGAAAGCAGGGGAUCUUCGGACCUUGCGCGAUUGAAUGAGCCGAUGUCGGAUUAGCUAGUUGGCGGGGUAAAGGCCCACCAAGGCGACGAUCCGUAGCUGGUCUGAGAGGAUGAUCAGCCACACUGGAACUGAGACACGGUCCAGACUCCUACGGGAGGCAGCAGUGGGGAAUAUUGGACAAUGGGCGCAAGCCUGAUCCAGCCAUACCGCGUGGGUGAAGAAGGCCUUCGGGUUGUAAAGCCCUUUUGUUGGGAAAGAAAAGCAGCAAGUUAAUACCCCGCUGUUCUGACGGUACCCAAAGAAUAAGCACCGGCUAACUUCGUG
rnacentral:rRNA from 1 species